rnacentral:rRNA from 1 species
AUUUUUUUUUAUUAUAAUUUAAUUUUGGAGAUAUGUAAAAAUCUUAAGACGUGAGUCGUAAAAUAUUAUUUAGGUUAUAUAUGUUGAGAUUAUUUACCUUUUGUAUAAUGGUUUGACGAGAAUUUAAAAUUAGGUAUAAUAAGCUCGAAACUUUCCGAUUUACUUUUAUAUGAAAAUUUACUGUUGAAAUAUUAUAUGAAAUUAAAAGUAGGAGCGAGAGGCUAAACAAGGAAAGUGAUAGCUAGUUUUUGUUCUGUCAUUUUUGAUGCUAAUUUAAGUUAGUGUGGUACUUUAGGGACAGCUUAAAGUAUUUUAUAUUUACGUAAAUAAGGAUAAAAUAUUAUAUCUUAAUUUAAGCACUCCAUUUUGUAUUUUUUACAACAAAACUAAAUAUGUUAAAAUAAGUACAAAUAUUUAAUAAAUAAUUUUUUAAAAAUAAAAAAAUAAUAAUUUUAAUACAAGUGGUAUAGAGGAAUUCGGCAAUGAUUCAGAUUGAUUGUUUAAUAAAAACGUAGUUUGUUGUUUUUUAUAACAAAUCAGAUCUGCUCCAUGUUUAAUAUAAAUAGCGUCUUAGUUCCUUAAAGUAGCGUAAUAAUUUGUCUAUUAAUUGUAGUCUAGUGAAAGAUACUACAAUCUGAAACUGUCUUUGUACUUUAAUUGGAAAUUUUUUCUCAGUGAAAAUACUGAGGUUAUUAUAUAAGAAAAAAAGACCCUAGGUGGUUAAUUUUAUUUUUUAUUUUUAUAAAGAUAGGAAUUUGGCUGGGGCAGCCUCUUAUGAUAAAAAUUAUAAGUGUUUAGUAAUUCUUGUGGGAAUAAUAUAAAAAACCAUAGCAUGAAACACCAACCCUAGGGAUAACAGCGCAAUUAAUCACAUAAGUUCGUAUUUACUGAUUAGAUUACGACCUCGAUGUCGACUUAGAUUAUUAACUUAAGUGUAGCAGCUUAGUUUAUUUGUUUGUUCACCAAUUAAAAAUCUACGUGAGUUGGGUUUAGAACGAGGCAACUUAGUUUUGAUUUUUUCUAUAAUUUAAUUAAGAUUUAGUACGAAAGGAAUUAUUUUUGAAAAUGAUUUUAU